AUACGGAGGAUCCGAGCGUUAUCCGGAUUUAUUGGGUUUAAAGGGAGCGUAGGCGGAUUAUUAAGUCAGUUGUGAAAGUUUGCGGCUCAACCGUAAAAUUGCAGUUGAUACUGGUAGUCUUGAGUGCAGCAGAGGUAGGCGGAAUUCGUGGUGUAGCGGUGAAAUGCUUAGAUAUCACGAAGAACUCCGAUUGCGAAGGCAGCUUACUGGACUGUAACUGACGCUGAUGCUCGAAAGUGUGGGUAUCAAACAGGAUUAGAUACCCUGGUAGUCCACACAGUAAACGAUGAAUACUCGCUGUUUGCGAUACACGGUAAGCGGCCAAGCGAAAGCGUUAAGUAUUCCACCUGGGGAGUACGCCGGCAACGGUGAAACUCAAAGGAAUUGGCGGGG
rnacentral:rRNA from 1 species